rnacentral:rRNA from 1 species
AGUCGAGCGGACCGACGGGAGCUUGCUCCCUUAGGUCAGCGGCGGACGGGUGAGUAACACGUGGGUAACCUGCCUGUAAGACUGGGAUAACUCCGGGAAACCGGGGCUAAUACCGGAUGCUUGAUUGAACCGCAUGGUUCAAUUAUAAAAGGUGGCUUUUAGCUACCACUUACAGAUGGACCCGCGGCGCAUUAGCUAGUUGGUGAGGUAACGGCUCACCAAGGCGACGAUGCGUAGCCGACCUGAGAGGGUGAUCGGCCACACUGGGACUGAGACACGGCCCAGACUCCUACGGGAGGCAGCAGUAGGGAAUCUUCCGCAAUGGACGAAAGUCUGACGGAGCAACGCCGCGUGAGUGAUGAAGGUUUUCGGAUCGUAAAACUCUGUUGUUAGGGAAGAACAAGUACCGUUCGAAUAGGGCGGUACCUUGACGGUACCUAACCAGAAAGCCACGGCUAACUACGUGCCAGCAGCCGCGGUAAUACGUAGGUGGCAAGCGUUGUCCGGAAUUAUUGGGCGUAAAGCGCGCGCAGGCGGUUUCUUAAGUCUGAUGUGAAAGCCCCCGGCUCAACCGGGGAGGGUCAUUGGAAACUGGGGAACUUGAGUGCAGAAGAGGAGAGUGGAAUUCCACGUGUAGCGGUGAAAUGCGUAGAGAUGUGGAGGAACACCAGUGGCGAAGGCGACUCUCUGGUCUGUAACUGACGCUGAGGCGCGAAAGCGUGGGGAGCGAACAGGAUUAGAUACCCUGGUAGUCCACGCCGUAAACGAUGAGUGCUAAGUGUUAGAGGGUUUCCGCCCUUUAGUGCUGCAGCAAACGCAUUAAGCACUCCGCCUGGGGAGUACGGUCGCAAGACUGAAACUCAAAGGAAUUGACGGGGGCCCGCACAAGCGGUGGAGCAUGUGGUUUAAUUCGAAGCAACGCGAAGAACCUUACCAGGUCU